rnacentral:rRNA from 2 species
GACGAACCGUGCGAACGUUGUUCGGAAUCACUGGGCUUAAAGGGCGCGUAGGCGGGCUGGCAAGUCCGGGGUGAAAUCCGUCGGCUCAACCGGCGGACGGCCCUGGAUACUGCCGGCCUCGAGGCGGGUAGGGGCGUGCGGAACUAUGGGUGGAGCGGUGAAAUGCGUUGAUAUCCAUAGGAACUCCGGUGGCGAAGGCGGCACGCUGGACCCGAUCUGACGCUGAGGCGCGAAAGCCAGGGGAGCGAACGGG